GUCGGGCCGGCGGGUGCCCAGCGCGCGUGCGCAGCGGCCGCGACCCGUAGGCUCUAGCGAGUACCCGCUCAGUGUGCGUGACCGGCCGGCCAAUGGGACGCGGCCGUGCGUCUGCACAUGCGCCGGGAGCCUGUGGGCACGGGGGGGAGUGUGGGAGGCGUGUGCGGUGUGGAAAUAGCAGGGAUACGGGUUGCGUUUACUGCUGAGCGGGCGGAAUGAGACGGGUGCGCUUCCCGUAGCGAAACGUUUUGUGGUCGUGGGGAGCGGAGCUCGAAGGGAGCCCCUGAGGGAGAGCCGGGUCAGGGGGGCGUCCUCGCCCGCCCCCUUCCUCAAGUGGGCCUGUGCUGCUGCUGUGGAGCUGUGGUAUUGCGUCGCACCGCCAGGAAGGAAGGAAGUGUGCGGAGGAGGCCGUGUCUGCUGGCAGCGAGGUGGUGUUCUGAGAAAAUGGUGGUGUAUCUUCUGUCUAGACCGCUGCCGAGGCGUGUGGAACGCUUGUUUCUCAGAUGAAAUCAUGACUUGUGUGCUUACUGCAGUGCAGCUAUGAAAAAGCCUGGCACCCCCCACCUGCUUGGUGUCACCAGAGCUUUUCUACACGCCUUGUUUUUGAGUACAAAACAUCCCCUGAGAAUAGGAGAAUCCAGAUCGUAUUUUGGGUUUUCUUCAGAUUUGUGAGGGAGAGCUGUGGAGGCUUCGCACGUUUCAGCCAUCAUGUGCAACAUGGUGAGCAAGGUUUCACUGCGGUGCUGUCAGGAGUUCUGCAGCUCUGGGUAGUGCUGUGCUGUCCCUUUUAGUUCUGGAAACAAACAAAAGUCCUGUGAAUUCCAGAAGCAAUGUGAAAUUUUUAUUUUUUAUUUUAUUUUAAUCUGAGGGAAGCACGAGACCAUGGAGCGACUCGCAGUUGUUAAGAGCAUAGUGCUACCAUGAGGUGCUUCUAUUGAGAGGAUCCUAGACUCUCAAAGUUCUCACAUUUCAUUUCUGAAGAACAGACGAAUUUCUUAGAGUCAGAUGUGAAGUUUUCCUCCUAAACCUAAUGCUUUAAAUUACAACUGGUAUCAGCUGUAUAGUGUCCCUUUGUUCUUCUGGAAAACCAUCGUGCUCCUCAACAAGAGCCUCAUACUGCGCUGGUAAGCAAGGCCCAGUGGAAUUCAAUUUAUUGCCUCAUAAGAUGCAAAGCCACCUUGAAACGAGAAAGUUCUACAACCACAGUUAGAUUUAAAGGAGGCAGUUUUGAUAGCAUUAUAGUAAGAAAGGUGAUGCAUUUGAUCUGGCACAGCGUUUUUAACAAAGGAACUUCUAGAUUCUGGCUCUUUUGAGUGUUGAGUUGCCGCAUUGAAUUAAGUUCAACAGGCAAACUGGUUAGCAGUCGUUCUGCCAGAUUGUGCAUACAAGACAAAACGAAGAUGGUAUUGAGAAUCCUUUGCUCCACAGUUUUUGAAGUAUUUGAUGGCCUCAGUAGAUUUCUGGGGACUUCUGAAUUGUUACCCUGUACACCUUCCCUAACUCAUAUCAACUUUGCUGCAGUCUCCUGAUAGUCGUGCAUUCUGUAGUCAGUAAGCAUAUCAUCCAUCUCUGUAAAAGUAUUUUCAAUUAGCUAAAGAACAUAAACAAUGCUGUGGGGGGAAAAAGAAAUCUUUGGGAGCUUAAAUAAAGCACUCUGCUGACAUUACUUGUUAAUACAGUAUAAUAGGACUUCACUGUACAGGAAGGCAGGAGUACUUCAUCCUUUUUAUUUCUCAGCCUACUGAAGAUGCUGGUAGACCACAAAUAGAAGAACCUGUAAAUCAGGACCUACAGGAAGGUAGCACAAGAAAAAAUACUUAUUUACAUACUUCCUGCUAUUGUGCAGCAAAACUUGAGCAGUCAGUUAGAAGCCUAUUAGCUUUCAUUUUUAUGUGCUUACAUUGAAUAGUCCUAUUGAACUCAAUGGCAAUUCCCAUGGUUGAAGCUAGAGGUUCCUACAUUUGAUUUCCUUGUAUUCACCUAACAGCAGUGACACCAGCUCCAAAUGGUAGGUGAGGUCUUGUGUGCCCUCCAAACCUCUAUACUUUCACACCCUUGAAUGAGAAAUCCAUGCUGCUUCUUCCCAUCCCCAUCACUUCAUCCUCUCUAUUUUGCACCUAUCUAAACAGUGCACUGACUGAAGAAUGCAGAAGAGACACAAGACCUGUUUUGCUAUGUACAAAAUGAAGCUGCCAUGAUGCACAAUGAACAGAAAUGGCUUGUGGAGAAACCUAAUAUAUGGGUUAAGUUCAUCUCUUUGUACAAGUAAGAUUAUAAACUUUAAAGAUGUGGCAAUUUGAUGCAAUUUGUAUAUGACGUGGAACUGUUGCAGACAGGCUAAAAGGGAUUUAUUUCUGUAGCCUGGCUUCUAGCAGUCCUGAGUAUGUGAGUAUGGAGGCCAGUUAUCCUAAUGUUGAUGCUUAUGAUAUAAAACCGAAUUGUGUUUCAGGAAUGCGUUGAUUUAAUGCAUGCAAUUU